GAUUGGUCACCAUGGCGACCGAAGCACCGCCGACGUCGGCUGCAGGAGAGUGGGGGACUGCGCGCGGGGAGGGGCGCGGGCCUGGCCGGCGCGCUCCUUCCGGGCUCAUACGCCCUCCCCUCGCCCCUCCGCCUCGCCACUGCCAGGGGCGGGGUCGCCGCUCGGCCCGCUACGGUCCUCGGCCUUCCAGGCGAAGGGCAAGAGCGAGCCCUGGCGGACCGUGCGUAGGGGUGCAGAGACCUGGAUGCGGCCUGCGAUCUCCUUCCCCGCCCCGGCGUUCUCCGCCCACCCGGGGUCCUUCCCGCCAAAACCUCUCACCUACAAGUACAGCGCGCCCUAAAUUUGGCACCGGCAAAGAACUGUGGCUGAGCAAUGCGUUGCUCACAGGCUCCUUUCUUUGUGUUUUUUUCUCUUCUCGUUGCUAUAUAUAACAAAACCCUCCACGUUUUGAUGUCUCCGAGGAGUCAUUCUGACAGCAGUGCGGUCGCUGAUAGACUCACAGAAUGUCAAUGUCAGCGCUGAAGAGAUCUUGGAGAUCACUUAAUCCAGAGAUUUGGAGCCUCAUGUGAACUUCGGAGUCCGGAACCCCCUAAAACACAGGCCAGUUUUUGCUUAUGACGAAGCAGACCGCAAGGAAUAAAGGGAAUUGCCAAGGUCACACAGGCAAUGGUAGAGUGCAAGAUGGCUUUUGGGCCCUCCACUGCUCACUGUGCUUCUGCUUUUCACUCUCCCCAAGCAAUACCUUACUCUACCAUGAGGUGUUAAAAGAUGAACAUCUAUAAUGAUUGAUGCUUAAAUUCAUGACAUAAAGAUUUUUAAGAAGUCAUUGGUCACUUUGAAGAAUGCAAGGAACUACCUCUUAAUUUUAAAAACUGGUAAAUAAAAUAAGCAUUUUUUCCUGUCUUUCCUAUAUUGCCUAUAUCAGAUAACCAAACAACUGAUGAAAGGGAAGACUCAAGUUAAUAAAAAAGAAAGGAUAGAAGUAGAAUAUCACCAUUUUGCAGUCUUCAAAGAGGUAAUGACCUCUUUCAAAGAAGCAAUGAUCAUCAGUGACUAACAACAGCAGAAAAAGAAACAAUUGGAUAUCAUGGACCUCCUGCUAGACACUACCACAGUGCAGUGGUCUUGUGGGGAGUGUUGGGAGCAGUUCACAAGACUGCUCUUACUUCUGGCAUCAACUGCAAGUUUGGGGAUUCUCAAAACCACACAAUUUUGAUAAUUUGCUAGAAGGACUUGAAGUCACUAAAAGUUGUUAUCCUAAUGGUUAUGGUUUAUCACAACUAAAGGAUACAGAUUAAAGGUAGUCCAGGAAAAAAAUCAUGUAAGGCAAAGUCUAGAAAAGUUCCAUAUAUGGAUGUUCCAGUUAUCUUCUCCCUGUGGAGUUGUAUGCACCAUUACUUUCCCAAUAUCAGUGUAUGACCAUAUGCACAGAUUAUUGCCAAGCACCUGAGCCUUCCUGUCCAGAUAUUUAUUUGGUUGGCUGCCCACAUGACUUCUCCAUCUCCAGCCCCUCCAGAGCUGAUUGCUGAGUAUGUGUGACCCAAACCUCCCACUCUGUAUCACAUCAUUACACUAUCCAGUUUAACCAAGGCCUGCACACAAACAAAACCACUCCUAUCAUGAAACUCCAAGGGUUUAGAAAUUACACCCCCAAAUAGAGGGCAAAGGCCAGACCCCUUUUUGGACAAGAUUAUAGUCUUUUCUACACAUCUUGCAAAACAAACAAACAAAAAAGAUUGAGCCUGAAUCUGAUUAAGCCUUUAGAUUCAACUAACAAUUUACAGGAAACACAGGGAUAAAGAACCUUUUAAGUGAUACCAUAGCAAAUUCAGGCCAAUUGACCUGAUAUCUUUAACAAAAAGUUGCAAGAGGAAAAAGGGGAAAGAAGAGAAACCUAUAAAUUAAAGUAGAAUUAAAAUACAUAUUGCUCAGUUGCAAUGUAUUGUACCAUAUUUGGAUCCUGAUUUAAAUAAUGAAGUUGAAAGUACUCAGAAUUAGGGUAAUGUGAACUCUGGUUGAAUAUUUUAUGAUGUUAAGGCAUUAAUUUUUGCAUUAGAUAAUUGUUAUGAUCAUGUUUAAAGAUCACAAAAAGAAUCUUUAUCUUUUAGAGAUUCAUACUGAAAUAUUUACAGAUGAAAUGACAUAAUGUGUGGGAUUUGCUUCAAAAUAACCUGGGGAUGAGUUGGUAGUAGGUGGGGUUUUGGAUGGAAUGAGACUGGCCAUGUGCUGUAAGAAAACAAAAAAAAUUGGGUUGUAUGUUAGUUCACAUGUUCAUGCUUUCCAUUUUGAAAAAUGUAACAUGUAUAUGUGAUAGAGCCUGUGGGACUCAGGAGGCCUUCACUGAGCCUUGCUUUUCUGCUAAGGUACUUGUGUACAAUAGACUGUUCUUAUUUGUUCACCUCUUCAUUUUCUCUGGGCCUUUGAGGGAGCAGAUGUUGAUUAUUUCAGUUGAAAACUGGAACUAGUAUGCAUAGUGGUUGAGGCUAUACAGUUGUUGCGAAGAGAUAUAGAUGCAUACACAAGAUAAUGGAUAUGCUUUGUCUAUUGAUUUUUCUUAAUUAUUAUUUUUUUUUUAUAGAAAUGGGGCCAAUGUUGCCCAGGCCAGUCUCGAACUCAUGGACUCAGGCCAUCCGCUUAUCUUGGCCUACCCAAAGUGCUGGGAUUACUGGUGUGAGCCACUGCACCUGGCCCCAUUUAUUUUUCAAGAGAAGCAUUAUAGUUAUACUAAGAUGGUAAACUUAAUGUAGAUAAACAUUACCUUGUAAUAUUCUGGUAAGAUCAAUAUAUUUUGAAGUUAAAAUUUAAA